rnacentral:lncRNA from 1 species
CUUUAUUCUAUUCAUUAGCCCUUUGACUACGAUCUCCUUCUCUUCUUCUGCUUGUUCACUGUAAAUUCUCUUCGCAAUGUAUGCAAAACUGGUCCCUGAAAUUAUCAUCUGGUUCAGUUGAGUUGGGCAUAAAUUUGCUUCCCUAAAAUUAUGAUGUGAUUUGGGUUAACAAUAAAGAGCAACAUAGACUUCUCGACUCUUCUCUUGCAUUGCUCAUUCCUGUGCCACAGCCUAAACUUUUCAUGAACUUAUAUUCUGUAGUAUUCACUACUGGUUCACAGAUCUCAAUACCUCCAAUCCACUUGAUAAAUCUUUGUUUUACUGGGAGAGCCAGUGAGAGGCAAAAUCUAGAUGGCCAGCCGUGCUGUUGCUGCUGAGCAUGCAUACCACCAUUCACAUUUCCUAGUGGGAGCGCAAUACACUGGAGAUGUGGUCUUUGUUGCUGCACUGUUCAACCAGAAAGCAAGCAUCCAAUAGAGACUAGAACGCAGCAACUUCUUACUGAACUCCAUCUUCGCUAUCAUAUCCUACCUUCUCACUGUCCAUCUCGUUCUCCUUGCUUCAAAAGUGGAACUCUGUAGCUAAAAAAGUUAUGGGAUUGAUGAUUCUAUAGUAAGUAAAAACAGAGAAAAUUAAGAAAAGUUAGCACCUGCAUUCCAGUUUCAAGAGUGGUGUCUCAUCCAUCUUCAUCAGGGUAUUGGUGCGUAGAUGAACUGACAUAAAAGUCUGUCUCAGCUGACAUACAGCAAUCAAGAAGACAAAAAUGUCAGCCGACACAGCAAGAACAAGAUUAGGAACGUCUUCAAACCCAUAAGAAGAUUGUAAAAGGAGCUUUUUUUAUUUUAACAAAAAAGAAACUUGGCUAAUAUCUAGAUAUAGUGUGAGCCAAUAUCUAGAGAUGCAACGUUUAUAUCGGAAAAUAUGUUAGUUUCUAGUUUUUAUUGUAAAUGCCGGAUGCCUUGCUCUGGGGACAAUAGAUACUUGAUCUCUUGCAGGCAAAACGUCGAGCAAAUGGUGGGCGGGUUGGGAGCGAGAUCCUAGAACCAAAUCGUUAUAAGUGUACUUAUAACGAUCUAAUUAUAAGUGUCGCCCUUCCCUUUACCUCGUUGUUGCUCCGAAGGAAGUUCCUGCUAGGAACCCAGGUAAAAGAGAAGAACCGAUCCGAUAAUUCAUAAACAUCUAAGAAAUUAUGAAAUUAUUAGAAUUUUAAUCCUAUAAAGGGCAUAUUCUUUUCAUUCCACCAGUCUAAAUGGUCUUCAUUUAAGAAAAUUAGACCCUUGAUAUUCAUACUCAGCAUUUACCAUGAUGUGAGAGCGCGCGGCAGACAAAUGUGAACGUAGAAGGAGAGGAGGGAAAGAGAGAGUUGUAGAGGGAGAGGAACAAGAGAC